UCAAUUUAACGGGUGAGGCCUGAGAUUCAGGGAGGAUAAGGAAUUUACACAGGCAAAAAACAAAGUCAGGAUUUAACCUUAAUAUCUUUUCUUUUCUAAGCUGACUCUUUCAAAGUCAUGCUGUUAACUCAGCUCUAUAUAGGACCAUUGGUCUACCUCGGGAGUUUUUGGAAUUCUUGAUGACUGAAAGAGAAACUCUGAAAGAGAAUCAUAAAAAUGGUCUCAAGAGAACAUGAGCAGGACUAAUGAUUAAAUGUUGCAAAAGAAUCCUGAGUUCAGUUUCAUUAUAGGAAGCACAGUUACAGAUGUCUGAAAUGAAGAUAGAUUGUCUCUGGUGGCAAUGAACCCCCAUCCCUAAGUGAGUCCAAGCAAGAACUGGAUUAAUGUCCUGUGGCUGAAAACUCCUCUUCGCUAUGAACACUUCCAGUGGCUAGACUAUUGCUGGGGCUAUUUUACAGGCCUGGAAUUCAAUCCCUUGGCUUCACUUCUGAGUCUCACUGUGUUCUUCAUCAUCCUUCACACUACUUGAUGAGGCCAACAUUUCAGUUAUAAAUCCAGGUACAAUCAUCCCUGUGUGCAGGAGCAAGUGGCACAGUGAUCCAGUGAAGAGUGUCUAAGAAGCUGAUCAUCCAUGAAGCACGCAGGGAUUCUCAUAAUCUACCCUAUUCUCCUUUAUCAAUUUUAUUUCUCUCCAAGAACCUCUUUGUACCCAAAGUCCAAAGCACUGAACUACUGGCAUUUCAUCAAUAUGUCAUACUCUUUUAUUCUUCUGGGAUUUUGUAAUUCUAUUUCCCUUGCCUACAAUGACCUUCCCCUCAAAAUCCCAUACCUAGCAAACUCAUACCAUUUCACCAUGAAGAACUGCUUUAACUCUUAACUUCUUCUGUUAUAUCUUCCUUGAUUACCUAGGUGAUUUUUCCCCCUAUUUUCUCAUUGUGCUUUUAUAAAAAUACAGUACUUUAUUUAUUUUAUCACUAUUCCCUUAUAGACUAUGGACACUAGAAGGAAAUAAAUACUAUCCUUUUCUCUUUUUAUGUACAG